ACAAAACCGCGUGUUAUGAUUGAUUAAAUGCGCUGAUACGUCAUCGUGACUGUUAAACACAUAACGCUGAGACUCAUCAACACUCAUCAACAGAGCGCUGUUCAUGACAGUGAUGAAAAAGCAAUGCUAUUUAAUAAGACUUAAAUCUAAUACAUUUUGAACUUUGAAUAAAAGCCACAGUAAAACAUGAGUAACGAAGGGAAAUAAGGAGUAUAUCUGAUUUUGAAUCUAAUUAUUUAAAUUUUGCUUAAAUGGUUUGCACCUCCGGUUUGCACCUGUGGUUUUGUGUAAUCCUAGCCCGCCGUUAAUUUUAUUAACUGCGGGAUGAAGAAAAAAAGACCUAUAAGUAUGGAUGUGACCAUGACUCUGAGGUGGAUAAUUUCUCCCAAUGCCCGCUUUUGCCGACAGUCCUGCUUUAGUGUGUUARUUGUUAUGUCUGUGGCGAGAACAAGAGCACAAACAAGAACACGUUAACCUGCCACGGCUUUAUGGACAUGCGCAGUUGAGUGGCUUYAWGUGGCGUUCAAUGAACGUCACCAGCAUUUGAUGAGCGCCUCUCCCACAGUAAAUUACAUUUAUAUUUUCUAUUUAAUAUUUUUUUAUGACAGUGAUGAAGAAGUAGUGUUAUUUAAUAACAAUUUAUGCCAAUACAUUUUGAACUUUCAACAAAAGUCACAGUAAGGCAUAAGUAACGAAGGGAAUUAAUAAUUAGUCUAUAUAAUUUUGAAUGUUAUAAUUAAUUCUAAUUCGAUAAAAAAUAAAUGCAGUUCAAAAUGUUUGUUUCAAAACCCGAAUUGUACAUGAGACUUAAAAUUGGUGCCAAAUCUUUCUUGAAUUGAUUUAACAAGCAUGUAAAAGCCACAGUCGUAAUCGAAGUGGAAAUAUCCGAGUCCUCCUGAAUGCCUCUGACACAUGACGUGACGUUCUUUGCCGUUACCUUCUCACUUCUUCGUUUGUCCCCAACAGAUGAAAGAAAACUGCUCACCAGCGUUCUUUGCCUGACAACCUAGAUAUUUCCACCAAAUUCUGCUCAGUGAGAGAGAAGUGGACCCAAACACCUUUCUCCCUGGUGAGCGGAUGUUUCAACGUGGAUCAGCCGAGCUGUCACAGCUGAUCCAACUUGACUCACACACAAUUUGAAUAAAAUCAUGUCCACAAACAUUUGCUUUAAAUUAGAUUCAAACAGGAUAUGUUGGUUAUGCUCACAUGACGACCCUGUUGUCCAAAACCCUGUAAGAAACAUGACUCAGUACUGCAACAACCCUCUGAGUUGUUUUCUGGACUCAUGAUGAGGUUUUCUGUCACUCAAUUUAAUCUCUGUGAUGAAGAAGGUCAAGUCAACAUUAAAUUCUGCUAAAGCAACUGGCUCUUUUAUCUGUUGGUAUGCUGGGAUGCAUCUUAUUUCAGUAAGAAUAUCAUAAUCUACAUUCAUUGAACUAUUUCAAUAAAGGUCAUGAAAACACAGCAACAACCCAAUUCACACCACAAAGCUUAGUUCACAAUAGUAGUAGGUAUGAAUCUCUUCACAGUUUGAACCUUUUCAGAUGAAAUCUGACCCAGAAGCYKCUCUGUUGAGAAUGUUUYAUUUUGAUGUCUAUUGGC